rnacentral:sRNA from 1 species
CACAUUUUGGUCUGGUUUGUUGUGCUAGACUAGAAUUAACAAAGAUGAUUUUUAUGAGAGUGUUUAGGCUUUUGUGCUGUAUGGACAGUUUGGGGUCUUUGGAUACAUUCCAGUGGCUAUCAAGAGUAUUGUGUCCUACUGAGAAUUUGAUUUUUGAGUUGAAUGGAUACGAAUUAAAUAGUACCUGGUUUGUUUGGCUUAAUACAUAAUAUUGAAUUUUAUUGUCUCACAUGAAUAAAACUGAACACUUCAUGAUUACAUGAUGGGGAAACAUGUAGGGGCUUUGUCUCUAUUGAAAUAUUUUUCUUACAGUUGUUUCUGUAUUUUAUUUUAGGCAAAAGUCAACAACUCUAGCUUAAUUGGAGUAGGCUAUACUCAGACUCUGAGGCCUGGUGUGAAGCUUACACUCUCUGCUCUGGUAGACGGGAAGAGCAUUAAUGCUGGAGGCCACAAGGUUGGGCUCGCCCUGGAGUUGGAGGCUUAAUCCAGCUGAAAGAAACCUUUGGGAAUGGAUAUCAGAAGAUUUGGCCUUAAUAUAUUUCCAUUGUGACCAGCAGCAGGCUUUUUUCCCCCAAGAAGAUGAUCAAAACAAAGGAUGAUCUCAACAAGAGCUGUAUUUUAAGUAUUUAGACAGUUCUUUGUUAGCUGGUUUCUAGUUGAAUUGGUUAUCUAGUUACCAAUGCUGCAGUCCUGCAGUCACCUAUACAUUAUUUAAAUGUAUUUAACUGUUAAAUGCGCUACCCACCAAUAAUGAAAUAGACCUUUAUGAAAACUG